UGGAGUGCAGUGGUGAGAUCAUGACUAACCGCAGCCUCAACUGCCUGGGCUGAGGCAAUUGUCCCACCUCAGCCUCCCAAGUAGCUGGGACUACAGGCAUGUGCCACCA